rnacentral:rRNA from 1 species
GGUAGCACAGAGGAGCUUGCUCCUUGGGUGACGAGUGGCGGACGGGUGAGUAAUGUCUGGGAAACUGCCCGAUGGAGGGGGAUAACUACUGGAAACGGUAGCUAAUACCGCAUAACGUCGCAAGACCAAAGAGGGGGACCUUCGGGCCUCUUGCCAUCGGAUGUGCCCAGAUGGGAUUAGCUAGUAGGUGGGGUAACGGCUCACCUAGGCGACGAUCCCUAGCUGGUCUGAGAGGAUGACCAGCCACACUGGAACUGAGACACGGUCCAGACUCCUACGGGAGGCAGCAGUGGGGAAUAUUGCACAAUGGGCGCAAGCCUGAUGCAGCCAUGCCGCGUGUAUGAAGAAGGCCUUCGGGUUGUAAAGUACUUUCAGCGAGGAGGAAGGCGUUGUGGUUAAUAACCGCAACGAUUGACGUUACUCGCAGAAGAAGCACCGGCUAACUCCGUGCCAGCAGCCGCGGUAAUACGGAGGGUGCAAGCGUUAAUCGGAAUUACUGGGCGUAAAGCGCACGCAGGCGGUCUGUCAAGU